rnacentral:sRNA from 1 species
UCUCGUGGACACGGUCGGCGAGUGCGUCU